rfam:Bdellovibrio exovorus JSS, complete genome.
CGGGGCGUAGCGCAGUCUGGUAGCGCAUCUGGUUUGGGACCAGAGGGUCGUAGGUUCGAAUCCUAUCGCCCCGA